rnacentral:rRNA from 1 species
UAUCAAUAAGCGGAGGAAAAGAAACCAACAGGGAUUGCCCCAGUAACGGCGAGUGAAGCGGCAACAGCUCAAAUUUGAAAUCUGGCGCAAGCCCGAAUUGUAAUUUGUAGAGGAUGCUUCUGGGUAGCGGCCGGUCUAAGUUCCUUGGAACAGGACGUCACAGAGGGUGAGAAUCCCGUAUGUGAUCGGCCCGCGCCCUCUACGUAGCUCCUUCGACGAGUCGAGUUGUUUGGGAAUGCAGCUCUAAAUGGGAGGUAAAUUUCUUCUAAAGCUAAAUACCGGCCAGAGACCGAUAGCGCACAAGUAGAGUGAUCGAAAGAUGAAAAGCACUUUGGAAAGAGAGUUAAACAGCACGUGAAAUUGUUGAAAGGGAAGCGCUUGCAACCAGACUUGUCCGCGGUGUUCCGCCGGUCUUCUGACCGGUCUACUCGCCGCGGGCAGGCCAUCAUCGUCUGGGGCCGCCGGAGAAACCGUCAGGAAUGUAGCUCCCUCGGGAGUGUUAUAGCCUGGCGACAUGCGGCGCGCCCCGGGCGAGGUCCGCGCACUGCAAGGAUGAUGGCGUAAUGGUUGUCAGCGGCCCGUCUUGAAACACGGACCAAGGAGUCUAACAUCUAUGCGAGUGUUCGGGUGUCAAACCCCUACGCGUAAUGAAAGUGAACGGAGGUGGGAGCUUCGGCGCACCAUCGACCGAUCCUGAUGUCCUCGGAUGGAUUUGAGUAAGAGCAUAGCUGUUGGGACCCGAAAGAUGGUGAACUAUGCCUGAAUAGGGUGAAGCCAGAGGAAACUCUGGUGGAGGCUCGCAGCGGUUCUGACGUGCAAAUCGAUCGUCAAAUUU